rnacentral:lncRNA from 1 species
AUCUGGACCAUUUACAAGAUAAUAGUACAUUCUCAAAUUGAACGGGGUGGGGUGACCCCCAGGAACUUCCAUUUAAUUUCAUUUGAUUAGUUUUAUUGUCCCCUACAAGAAUAUAUAUGGUUUUUAGGGGUGGGGAUCUGGACCGUUUACAAGAUAAUAGCACAUUCUAAAAUUGAACGGGGUGGGGAUGACCCCCGGGGACUUCCAUUUAAUUUCAUUUGAUUUGUUUUAUCGUCCUAUUCAAGAAUAUAUAUGGUUUAGGGGUGGGGAUCUGGACCGUUUACAAGAUAAUAGUACAUUCUCAAAUUGAACGGGGUGGGGGUGACCCCCAGGAACUUUUAUUUAAUUUCAUUUGAUUAGUUUUAUUGUCCCAUACAAGAAUAUAUAUGGUUUAGGGGUGGGGAUCUGGACCGUUUACAAGUUAAAAGCAUAUUCUCGAAUUGAAGGGGGUAGGGAUGACCCCCAGGGACUCCCCUAUAUUUCAUGUGAUUUGUUUUAUUGUCCUUUAAUCAUUUCUGAAGACUGCAUGUAUCUAUCACUUACAGUUUUCAAGUUAUAUUCAUUUGAAAAUUUUAGAAAAUAAAAUCCCAUAGGGUUCUAUAGUAAAC